rnacentral:rRNA from 1 species
AUUGAACGCUGGCGGCAUGCCUUACACAUGCAAGUCGAACGGCAGCACGGGAGCAAUCCUGGUGGCGAGUGGCGAACGGGUGAGUAAUGUAUCGGAACGUGCCCAGUCGUGGGGGAUAACGUAGCGAAAGCUACGCUAGUACCGCAUACGAUCUAUGGAUGAAAGCGGGGGACCGUAAGGCCUCGCGCGAUUGGAGCGGCCGAUAUCAGAUUAGGUAGUUGGUGGGGUAAAGGCCUACCAAGCCGACGAUCUGUAGCUGGUCUGAGAGGACGACCAGCCACACUGGGACUGAGACACGGCCCAGACUCCUACGGGAGGCAGCAGUGGGGAAUUUUGGACAAUGGGCGCAAGCCUGAUCCAGCAAUGCCGCGUGCAGGAUGAAGGCCUUCGGGUUGUAAACUGCUUUUGUGCGGAGCGAAAAGGCUCUCUCUAAUACAGGGGGCUCAUGACGGCACCGUAAGAAUAAGCACCGGCUAGCUACGUGCCAGCCGCCGCCGUAACAC